rnacentral:sRNA from 2 species
CUAGCAUUAAGCUUUCGGACAAUAAUACAUACACCGUCAGCUAUCAGGACGCAGGCGUUGAUGGUGGUAAUAGCUUUUCUGUCGAGCAAGAAACAUUUGACCAUGUCGUCAUCGCGAACCCAUAUCAAUUCUCGAAUAUCUCUUUGUCUCCCCCACCAAAACGGCCGCUUCAUUCUCCGCGCUACGUUGACCUGCACGUCACCAUUUUUGCCUCCCCCUAUAAACUCUCACCGGAAUAUUUCAAAAUGCCCAGCGGCUCCUCAGUCCCCGAAGCUGUUCUCACAACAUUGCCCGCCAACGUCAAGCUAGGCGCCCGCACUGAUGGUGUCGGCCCGGCUCAAUUCUGGAGCAUCAGCACGCUGAAAAAGGUGGAGGCACCAGCCAAUUCUCUCCAGGAUGGCAUUUCAGGUGACUCUUAUUAUGUAUACAAGGUUUUCUCGCCAAAGCCGCUGAAGGCAAAUUUUGUAUCUGACAUUCUCGGAAUCGACGAGGCACGUAUGUUCGGCAACAGCAGCAGCAGCAGCAGUGAAACCAGCUAUACUGCGGACCAGCGCAUAGCGGAUAUCUCCAAGUCUCACAUCAGCUGGUACUAUGAGAAAGUGUGGCAGUCGUACCCAUACCUGUACCCGCGGGUGACGUUUGAAGAUAUAAAACUGGCGCCUAAUCUAUGGUAUACCAACGGGAUGGAGAGCUUUAUAUCGACGAUGGAGACUAGUUCGUUAUCUGGGAUGAAUGUUGCCGGGUUGAUAUUGUCUGAGUGGGUUUCAAAGUUUGAGACGAAGCUGAAGAAGUUCGAGGACGGCGUUGGGCUCUAAACUUUUGUUCUAAUUCACUUCGUCUCGUCUUUUUCGCCAGGAUUUGGAGUGUACGGGGUUACAGGAACGGGAAAGACAUCAAGGUGUUUUCUUCAGUUCAUGGUUAAUAAUGAUUUCUUUCUCUUUGUUUUGGGAAGAAGGGGUCUUCUGGGGCGAUGUCUUUCAUUUCUCGUUGUAGUAGCGGAUGUCAUCCUUGGUUAGUAGUUAGCUAUUUUUAUUCUUAGAUUUGGCCCUAUGAUCCACUUUUCCUCCGGGGUGACGAAAGGCGUUGGAUCACCUGAAAUCGUCAUCAUCAUUAUCACCGUUAUCACUAUCACCGGCAUUCAUGACCAUUAUUACCAUCCAUGACCAAAGAACAAAGC